AAUAUUGGACAAUGGGGGGAACCCUGACGCAGCAACGCCGCGUGAGUGAAGAAGGUCUUCGGAUCNUAAAACUCUGUCAUAGGGGANGAAGUCGUGACGGUACCCUAUGAGGAAGCCCCGGCUAACUACGUGCCAGCAGCCGCGGUAAUACGUAGGUGGCGAGCGUUAUCCGGAAUUAUUGGGCGUAAAGGGUGCGUAGGCGGCCUUUUAAGUCAGAUGUGAAAGGCUACGGCUUAACCGUAGUUAGCAUUUGAAACUAAAAGGCUUGAGUGCAGGAGAGGAGAGUGGAAUUCCUAGUGUAGCGGUGAAAUGCGUAGAUAUUAGGAGGAACACCAGUGGCGAAGGCGACUCUCUGGACUGCAACUGACGCUGAGGCACGAAAGCGUGGGGAGCGAACAGG
rnacentral:rRNA from 1 species